UCGAGCGGUAGAGAGAAGCUUGCUUCUCUUGAGAGCGGCGGACGGGUGAGUAAUGCCUAGGAAUCUGCCUGGUAGUGGGGGAUAACGUUCGGAAACGGACGCUAAUACCGCAUACGUCCUACGGGAGAAAGCAGGGGACCUUCGGGCCUUGCGCUAUCAGAUGAGCCUAGGUCGGAUUAGCUAGUUGGUGAGGUAAUGGCUCACCAAGGCGACGAUCCGUAGCUGGUCUGAGAGGAUGAUCAGUCACACUGGAACUGAGACACGGUCCAGACUCCUACGGGAGGCAGCAGUGGGGAAUAUUGGACAAUGGGCGAAAGCCUGAUCCAGCCAUGCCGCGUGUGUGAAGAAGGUCUUCGGAUUGUAAAGCACUUUAAGUUGGGAGGAAGGGCAUUAACCUAAUACGUUAGUGUCUUGACGUUACCGACAGAAUAAGCACCGGCUAACUCUGUGCCAGCAGCCGCGGUAAU
rnacentral:rRNA from 1 species